CUUCACUGCAUCUCCAGAAAUGCUAAAAAACUUCACAUCGGACAAGGUUUGUGCUGCACGUUCCACUCAUUCCUGUGAAGAGAAUAGUGAUGACCUGGAUCUGGAGCUUUUCAUGUGAUAACAACCAGACUGUUAGAGUAUUGGGAAGCUUUUCAAAGCCAACAGAGGCAACUAAAAGAAGACAAAGAGGGAAUACCAAGGUUAGCUCCAUCUUGGGUACUGGCCUACAAAGGACCCAGGACAUCUUCAGGGAGUAGUGUCUCAGAAAGGCAGUGUCCAUUAUUAAGCCCUUUUCUCACUGUUACCAUCAGCUUCGGAGACUAAGGGCAGAUGUGACAGAUAAACUUUUAUAGAAUCACGAGAAGCAUCGACUGAAAACUGGCAUCUUUUCCCCAUGGUGGAAAUGUCUGAGG